UCUGAAGGCGAACGGCAUCGAGAUGCAAGAGAUGAAAAUGGCAAGCGCCCAAGAUACUUUGAAGACGCAAGCUGCGAUGGAGAUAAUGGUUCAGAGGUUUAAAGCGAUGGAGGAGGAUCUACUGCAAUUGAAGAAGCAGGUGGCCAAGACGGAGGAGAAGAAAACCGGCAAAAAGUGAUUAGUUAGGGUUUAGAUUCGAUUUAGGAUUUAUAUGGACUGAGGAGCAAGAUCCUUUUUGUGUAAUGCUAUGGACUAUUUUUUUAAUUAAGUAAUAGCCACUUGGA